rnacentral:rRNA from 1 species
AUUAUCUAUAAUAAUAUAAGAUUAUAAUUUACGAAACUAGGCGAGCUAAAUUUACAUAGAUCUUAGUAUAUAAUAUAUAACGUAGUAUAGUUAUCUUAAUAAGUAAAUUUAGGGGUGAUAGACCUAUCAAGUCUAGUGAUAUCUUAUUAUAUAGGAAAUAUAUUUAGUAUAUUAGCCAAAUAGGAAAUGGUGAGGUUUCCUAAAAAUAUUAUAUAAGUUAUAUAUAUAAUGGUCUUUGUAAAAAAAACCAUUUUUAUAAAUAAUAAUACUUAUUACUAUGAAGUUAUAUUUCUUACUUUAUUGUUUAUUUAAAUUCUAAUAUAAAUUAAAAAUGAUAAUAUUAGUAUAUAUAUAAAAAAAACUAAGGAACUCGGCAAAAAGUUUUCUCGACUGUUUAUCAAAAACAUUGCUUUAAGAAUAUAUUUAAAGUUACCCCUGCUCAAUGGUUUAAUUAAAUAGCCGCAGUACCUUGACUGUGCAAAGGUAGCAUAAUCAAUUGGCUUAUAAUUGAAGUCUAGUAUGAAUGGGAACCCGGGGAAUAUCUGUCUCAGAAGAUAUAUAAGAACUUUCUUAAUAAGUGAAAAUUCUUAUUUGUAGAAAAAAGACGAGAAGACCCUAGAAAUUUUUAUAUAAAUUUUUGUUGGGGCGACACGAUAACAAAUAACUUAUCAGAAAAAUAUAAGAAUCUGCUUAGCUGGAAAAACAAAUUACUCUAGGGAUAACAGCAUAAUAUCUUUGAAGAUUGUGACCUCGAUGUUGGACUAGGGAGGGGAGUACUUAAAAGGUAUUCUUCCAAGCUCUGUUCGAGCUAGUAUCCCUACAUGAUCUGAGUUCAGACCGG